UUCAUAAUCACUUGGAAUCUGGUGUAAUUUUCUUGAUUAUAACAGCUUCAGGUCUUGUUGCAACAUAUUGCCAUUCAUUUCUUGAAUAUGAUGCUUUGUAUUAUGUCUGAGUGAGGCGAUGCCCAUCAGUUGUGUCAAAAAAGAACAUUUUGUUAACGUGUCCGACAGCACCGGCCGUCACAUCGUACCUGUGAAGGCACAGCGAGGAGCUGCAUCAUUUCCUACCAGGACUGUCUCAGUUUUUAACAAACCCUAAGUUACAUCAUCAAGUAUGACUGAAACUGUGAUAACGAUGCAAUCCCACGCAGAGUUCUAAAGGCUUCGGAAUAUCAGAGACCAACUGCUGCAAGGAAAACACAAAUCCAAAACAUAAGAAGUACACUAUAGUGGGCUUUAGAAAGCAUUUUGAGCCUAACAUGUUGGAAACUGUCUCCCCUCCUGGAAGGUAACACGGCGGGUGGAGUUAUACUCCUCUACUUGACACAAGAUCACUGAAGGAGCUUCAAC
ensembl:lncRNA